rnacentral:rRNA from 1 species
UACGAAGGGGGCGAGCGUUGUUCGGAUUUACUGGGCGUAAAGGGCGCGUAGGCGGCCUUGUCAGUCAGGCGUGAAAGCCCCGGGCUCAACCUGGGAACGGCGCUUGGGACGGCGAGGCUGGAGUUCGGGAGAGAAGAGUGGAAUUCCCAGUGUAGAGGUGAAAUUCGUAGAUAUUGGGAAGAACACCGGUGGCGAAGGCGGCUCUCUGGACCGACACUGACGCUGAGGCGCGAAAGCGUGGGGAGCAAACAGG